rnacentral:rRNA from 1 species
UACGGAGGGUGCAAGCGUUAUCCGGAUUUACUGGGUUUAAAGGGUGCGUAGGUGGGUCUGUAAGUCAGUGGUGAAAUCUCCGAGCUUAACUCGGAGACUGCCAUUGAUACUACAGGUCUUGAAUUAUCUGGAGGUAAGCGGAAUAUGUCAUGUAGCGGUGAAAUGCUUAGAUAUGACAUAGAACACCAAUUGCGAAGGCAGCUUACUACGGAUCGAUUGACACUGAGGCACGAAAGCGUGGGGAUCAAACAGG